GAGUUUGAUCCUGGCUCAGGACGAACGCUGGCGGCGGGCCUAACACAUGCAAGUCGAACGAGAUGCCUUCGGGCAUUUAGUGGCGAACGGGUGAGUAACACGUGAGAAACCUGCCCCGAAGACGGGAAUAACCACGGGAAACUGUGGCUAAUACCCGAUGCCCCCGUUGCGGCACAUGCCGCGACGAGGAAAGGCUCCGGUGCUUCGGGAGGGUCUCGCGGCCUAUCAGCUAGUUGGUGAGGUAACGGCUCACCAAGGCAUCGACGGGUAGCUGGUCUGAGAGGACGAUCAGCCACACUGGGACUGAGACACGGCCCAAACUCCUGCGGGAGGCAGCAGUGGGGAAUCUUGCGCAAUGGGCGAAAGCCUGACGCAGCCACGCCGCGUGGGGGACGAAGGCCCUCGGGUUGUAAACCCCUUUCAGCAGGGACGAAAAUGACGGUACCUGCAAAAGAAGCUCCGGCCAACUACGUGCCAGCAGCCGCGGUAACACGUAGGGAGCGAGCGUUGUCCGGAUUCAUUGGGCGUAAAGGGCUCGUAGGCGGUUUGGUAAGUCAGGUGUGAAAGCUCAGGGCUCAACUCUGAGAAGCCAUCUGAAACUGCCAUGACUAGAGUUCGGUAGAGGAGCGUGGAAUUUCCGGUGUAGCGGUGAAAUGCUCAGAUAUCGGGAGGAACACCAGCAGCGAAGGCGGCGCUCUGGGCCGAAACUGACGCUGAGGAGCGAAAGCGUGGGUAGCAAACAGGAUUAGAUACCCUGGUAGUC
rnacentral:rRNA from 1 species